GACGAACGCUGGCGGCGUGCUUAACACAUGCAAGUCGAACGGAAAGGCCCUGCUUUUGUGGGGUGCUCGAGUGGCGAACGGGUGAGUAACACGUGAGUAACCUGCCCUUGACUUUGGGAUAACUUUAGGAAACUGGGGCUAAUACCGGAUAGGAGCUCAUGCUGCAUGGUGGGGGUUGGAACGUUUCGGCGGUUGGGGAUGGACUCGCGGCUUAGCAGCUUGUUGGUGGGGUAGUGGCUUACCAAGGCUUUGACGGGUAGCCGGCCUGAGAGGGUGACCGGCCACAUUGGGACUGAGCUACGGCCCAGACUCCUACGGGAGGCAGCAGUGGGGAAGAUUGCACAAUGGGCGGAAGCCUGAUGCAGCAACGCCGCGUGCGGGAUGACGACCUUCUGGUUGUAAACCGCUUUCGCCUGUGACGAAGCGUGAGUGACGGUAAUGGGUAAAGAAGCACCGGCUAACUACGUG
rnacentral:rRNA from 1 species